CCUACGGGAGGCAGCAGUGAGGAAUAUUGGUCAAUGGACGGAAGCCUGAACCAGCCAUGUAGCGUGCAGGAUGACUGCCCUACGAGUUGUAAACUUCUUUUGUAAAAGGGUAAAGUUAAACACGUGUAUCUUGUUGUAUGUACUUUACGAAUAAGGAUCGGCUAACUCCGUGCCAGCAGCCGCGGUAAUACGGAGGAUCCGAGCGUUAUCCGGAUUUAUUGGGUUUAAAGGGAGCGUAGGUGGAUUGAUAAGUCAGUUGUGAAAGUUUCGAGCUUAACCGUAGAAUUGCAACUGAUACUGGCAGUCUUGAGAGUAGAUGCGGUAGGCGGAAUGUGUGGUGUAGCGGUGAAAUGCUUAGAGAUCAUACAGAACUCCGAUUGCGAAGGCAGCUUACUAAUCU
rnacentral:rRNA from 1 species